GACGAACGCUGGCGGCGUGCUUAACACAUGCAAGUCGUACGGUAAGGCCCUUUCGGGGGUACACGAGUGGCGAACGGGUGAGUAACACGUGAGUAACCUGCCCACAACUUUGGGAUAACGCUAGGAAACUGGUGCUAAUACUGGAUAUGUGCUCCUGCUGCAUGGUGGGGGUUGGAAAGCUCCGGCGGUUGUGGAUGGACUCGCGGCCUAUCAGCUUGUUGGUGGGGUAGUGGCCUACCAAGGCGGCGACGGGUAGCCGGCCUGAGAGGGGGACCGGCCACAUUGGGACUGAGAUACGGCCCAGACUCCUACGGGAGGCAGCAGUGGGGAAUAUUGCACAAUGGGCGCAAGCCUGAUGCAGCAACGCCGCGUGCGGGAUGACGGCCUUCGGGUUGUAAACCGCUUUCAGCAGGGACGAAGCUUUUUGUGACGGUACCUGCAGAAGAAGCACCGGCUAACUACGUG
rnacentral:rRNA from 1 species